UUAAAAUUAUUUAAUAAUUUGUAAUAAAUAUUUUUGAUAUUUUAUUUUCAGCAUUAUUUUCCCGAUAAUAUCAAGAUAAAAGCAUCAAUAUUUUAAAUCUCCUGAGAAUUCCGAUGGCUUAUCUUGUAAUUCUCUUCGGCCGAAUCGCCAUGAAAAGUGGAAACCAGGUUCGAGCUUGGGUACGCGACUUCCCCGCGAUCUCCCCUGUAACCCAAAGCUCUGUGGGGCCCACCGAUGUUUCUGUUACAUCCACUGCGUCCAUCCGUUUCGUCAGCUCAUUUUGAGAACAUAAGCUCAAAAAUGAGGGAUAUUGAAAACUCAAGUGGGCCACACACGCUAGGAUUGAACGCUCGCCAUUGAAACCUCAGUGGGGUGAAAGAAGUUUUGGAUGAGGGUUUAUAUUUGUGUUUUCCCUUCAUCCAGGUGGGAAUCACCUUAUGAACGGUUUGGAUAGCAUCUAAACCUCAUGGUGGGCCCAAGAAAGGUUGCAGUGGUCGGUGUCUCCAUCGCAACUGUUUCCUAUGGAAUGGCUUGCUUGUGUUUUGGAUCUCCCUCGGUUUUGAUCUCAUCUCCUAAAAUGAGCUGACGAAACGGUGAAGUGGAUAUGGCAUAAACAUCAUCGUGGUAGACCUAACAGAGAUUUGGGUUACAAGGGCCUGGGGAAGUCAUGGGCUUUGGUUUCUUGGAUCAGCAAGGUCGGGUUUAUAAAUAAAUGGGCUGGGCCUCAUGCAAGGCCCAUAUUUGGCCCGUUUUUAACUGGCAAAUGCCCAUGCCUCACUGUCACUGCCUCAUCCCAUGCCCCAAGUAAAGGCCCAUUCAGCACUCAGGUGGGCUACAUUACGGAAACAGUUGAGAUGGGAAUUGCCAUUAUUAAAAUCGUCCAGAUUGUGCGUGGGUUCCACUGUUGCCUGUAUAUGCAUCCAAUCCACUCAUUUGAUGGACCAUACCAGAAUGAAUGGAUUCCCCAAGAAUCAGGACGUUUCAAGACUCAUGUGGGCCACAUCAUGUGUGGCCCACCUAAGUUUUAGAUGGAACUGAUUUUUAGGAUCCAUAUUGAAAAUGUGGCAAUGCACUCUGUGGACAGUGUGUGGAUCUGAUGCAUGUUUGUCCCAUGCAGUGUUCAAUUGGCUCAGGUCAAGCACACCAUGAUUGGUGUGGCAGAACCGGAUAUCUUGACUUCUGAUUCUUGGAGUUGAAGAUGGGCCACUGAAAAUAUAUUUUUCUGUGUUCUGUGUAGAUAUAUCUAGCCGUUGUAAAGGUCAGAAUAUCCGUUUAGCAUAAGUUUCUCAUUGGACGGUCUGAAGUCCAAUAGCCCAAAUUCAAUAUAUAUGCGUUGGCUCACUUGAUGAGUAUAUCAUCCUUUGGGCAUUAUCUGACGAAUGGCCUCCCAGAUCACUCUUACUUUUGUUGUCCACCAAAUCUUGAACAUAUGUUCUGCCCCUCAUUGAAUCAUGGCCAUAUCUAGAAUAGGCUAAAUUGUAAAUUAUCCUCUGCCAAACGGGAUGCGCACAUUCAAAAUUAGGAAGUGCAGGACAGAGUUCAACAUAUUUAAUCUGUGUAAAAUGCAGGCUUCACUACCCGUAGGGGGGUGAGCCUACCACUUUUGUUGGGUGAACCGCUUUGUGUGCACAAGAUCCACGUUGUCGAUCAGUUGUGCCACCUAAUGUUCGGCCUCAACCCCAAACAUCACACCAAUACAAAACUCAGGUGGGCCUCACCAUAGGAAAGUGUCAAAUCAUGUCUAAAAGUUAGUGUUGCCCACCUUAGUUGAAUGUUCCUGUCAGGUGAUAAGAUUGAAUGGUAUAUAUAAGCUAAGGUGGCCCCACACACGCAACUAAUGGCGAGCAUCCCAUUCCCACUCUUUCAGACCAUGUUGUAAACCAGUCCAGUUUUUGGGU